UUCUGUCCUUUGUGUUCUCGGAACAUUUGAAGAAACCGGCCAAGCCAGGGAGCAUUUCCCUCACUAAGGGAGGAGGAGGGGGAAGGAACUUGAGAGCACCAAGCCUAAAUGAUGUACAGCGAGGUCCAUCCUGCUAAGGAAAAAAAAAUCACAGGAGCAAGCCCAUCAUUUUGCAGGUGUUGGAGGUGAUCCAGGAGGACCUGAGAGUUCCAGCCAAGAUGACUGUGGAUCCAGGGCUGCAAGGAGGAUGGUGCAGCCCAUCAGCCUGGCAUAGGACUCGAGCCCCUGAGGUGGUCUGGACUUGGGACUGGGACCAUGACCUAUAAGAACCAAGGCGCCUAUGAACCCUCAGUGUCAAAUGGUUCAGUAUCAAAAACUGAUAUGAUUCGGUCAGGGGAAAUGGCAUUAAAGAAGGACAUCACCAUCCGUUUUGUUGCUAUACCCCAAGGACCAUGGGAAUUUUCCAUCCUACUUGCAACUGAUACCUACCUUCUCUCUUCCACUGGAUUGUGAGCUCUUUGAGAGCUGGAACUGUCUUGAUUUUCUAUUGCUUUGAGUAUACUAAGCUUCCUGCAAACAAGGCUGGGCUGACGUGCAGAUGUUCAGUGAAGACAAGUCCCCCUUUGCCCCCAAAUACCUUCCCUAGAGCUUCGCUGCCCUAGAGCUGAGCUGUCUUGAUGGAUGGAUGAAUGCAACAUCACCUCGCCAUACUUUAUACCUCUACUUAGACAGCCAAUAUGUAUCAGAGUCAGGACGUGAACCCAAGCUUUCCUGACUUGAAGACUACUGCUCUCUAUACUAUCAUUAACUCUCACAGGUAUGUCUAGCACGAAAAUUAGCUACUUAAUGUUGAAACAAGUUAUUGAAUGUGCUACUCUCUGGAGACACAAGCCCUUUACCCAAAUGAGUGAGGAGGAAUCUCAGGCAUCAAGUUAAGCUAUGGGGAAGGUAUCUGAGGGCAGAAGAGAUUUCUCUUCAAAGCACAGUAAGUAGAAGGGAGCUAUUACCUCUGCCCCACAUCACCCCAGCCCUGUUUGAAGGAAUGAAUGAAUGAAUGGUCUUGAUGGAUGGAUUAGAUAGAUAACUGGAUGGAAGAAGCAUUUACUAAGAGUUUACUGUGUACAAAGCACUAUGCUAAGCUCUGGGGAUAUAAAUAGAAAAGUGAGAUAGUCCCUAUUUUUCAGUGAUUUGGUCAAUGUUUUUUCCUGGUGUCACCUCUCCAUAUUUUUAAAUAAGUCAUCCCAGAACAUAGUUCAGAUACUAUCCAGUUGUCCUGUGGCUGAUGGCAUCUUGCCAGCAGUUCACAUACUUUCCUCACCCUGUUCCACUUCUUUUUCCCUCAAUCCCUGCCAAUUUCCAACUUUGGUUUUAAGAACAAUAAUCAAAUCAAUGCCUCCAUUACUUAUGAAAGGGGCAUUCCUGUGAAUUUCUCUGUGGCUCUGCUCACAAUCACUGUGACUCCCCACGACAAAAUUCUCUUCCCUAUUCAUUAAUUCCCAUAUGGGUUGACUCCCCUUAAUAGAAUAGGAGUACCUCGACAGCAGGGUCUGACUCAUUUCUGACUUUGUUGUCCCAGCACCUGGCACUUAGUAGGUCCUCAAUAAAUAUUUUUUAUUCAUUUGUUCA
ensembl:lncRNA